GCCAACGUCCGAUGAGAAGAGAAGCGCAAGUUUGUCCUUAUGGAGAAUAAUGAUUGCGUCAUGAUUGUUCAAAAAGAGUUCGUAAAUAGCACUCCCAUCUAUUUGGACCAAUCUCUUUCUGAAAUGAAUCUUAAAAAUCUAGUGAUCCGUGAGCAGGGAGCAUCAAAUGGCAAAGGGUUGAGAAAGCGAUAUGCAGUCGAUAGCUCAAAGGCCUCCUCUACCAAACAAGCAGAAAAUAGAUGCGAAGCAGCCCAACGUUGUCCAUUGCUCAAGUAUGGUAAGCUAGGAGCCUCAAUUCGUGUCUGAAGGAAUCUUGAUAUAACCAAAAGCUUCUAACGAGAUGGAGCUGGUGAAUGGCAGUAAUCCUGUCACCUAAUUUCUCUUUCCUAACCUUGAAGGUUGAUUGAGUCGUAGCUUGACUAAGACCAUGUCUCUAACUCUGAACUCCGCCAACUUCAUUUAGCAUCAACAUACUUCUUCAUAACUUGCUGAGCACGAUGGAGAUUGUACAGAAGUUUGACAUUUUGUUUCGAUAAUGACUUAUGCGAUUUUGUACAGUUUCAUGAUUUUGAUUCUAAUGGAGCUUGUUGCAGGGUCCUGCUUGGAAAUUAAAUGAUG